rnacentral:lncRNA from 1 species
GAUCAGUGAGACUCUUUUGUAUACCUGUAGCAUAUAGUAAUAGUAAGCAGUAAUAGCAAUGGCCUCCUCCAUGAUCUCAUCGGCAACCAUUGCCACCGUGAACCGCUCCUCCCCGGCACAGGCCAACAUGGUGGCCCCCUUCACCGGCCUCAAAUCUGCCUCUGCUUUCCCAGUCACCAGGAAGGCCAACAACGACAUCACUUCUCUUGCAAGCAACGGUGGGAGAGUGCAAUGCAUGCAGGUACUUGGUGAUGCAUAAAUACCACUUAAAUUACCCCAAGUGUUUGAACACAACAAAUUACAUAAAUUGAAUCAAAUAUAUAUCUUGGCUUUUGAGUACAGGUGUGGCCGCCUCUUGGGAAGAAGAAGUUCGAGACUCUCUCAUACCUGCCCGAUCUUACUCCCGUACAGUUGGCUAAGGAAGUAGAUUACCUUCUUCGCUCUAAAUGGAUUCCUUGCUUGGAAUUCGAAUUAGAGGUGUUUUGGAGCUCUAAAUUAUUCCAUUCCUCCUCUUAAUUUUUUUAGUGGGAUAUUUGAGU